CCUUUAGCGCAAUGGAUAGCUCGUUGGACUUCUAAUCCAAAGGUCGUGGUUUCGAAUUCCAACCGAGCUGGC
rnacentral:tRNA from 1 species